CAUGGAGGUUCUUCAAAGCUGGUGAACGGCGCUCAUUUGCAAAUUGAAUUCACUCGCCAUCUGGAAACGGGACACGUCAAGCCUUGAUUUUAUUGAUCGGCAUGCCCAGCACGUUCAAAAACUUUGGUUCAUUCGGAACCGUGCUGCCCCGGAUUUUGAAGAAAACACACAAGUUUUAUCAAGGUGCACAGCCUUGAGGGUCUCGGCGCAGGGCGUGCUCACCCCUGCGGCGUUGGAGGCGGAGUCGGCGACGCUUCCCAAGCGACCUUCUUCCUCGCAGUCUAACAGCAAUACCAAAAAGGCAAUCUGCUGUCCGGGAUCAGCGUGGAAGCCCCCGUGCACCUUAACAAGAUCUGCUACAUAUUUGAACGUUGAGGAGGCUGCAAUAAAUUGAUGUCAUUGUCAACCACGUACGCCUGAACACUAAAAUCAUCGGUGCCAAAGAAGUGCAACUUGACAACUUUCGAAGCAAACGGUGAGUCAGGGGUGGCGUGCUUGUACGCAUCGUCACGAAAGGUGGCAAACAAAAGAGGACAAAGACUAUGAAAGCCUCGCUGAGUCAGCAAAGCUCACCCUCGGGGUGAGCCUUCAUCCUGGGUGGCUUGGGGCUGCGCCAUAAUCACAUCAAAAAGUCGGAAGGUGCGGGACCGGGAUGCAACUUAGCCGACUGGCGACGUGUGGACUGACAGCGGCCCCCACCCAUUCACCAAAGGUUUUUCCAGAGGUAUUUAGUUGAGGUGAGGCAUUUACUUAUUUUUAAAAAAUCUUUGAGAAGUGGAACUGAAGCCGCUAUUUUUGACAGUACAUUUGCGGCUCGCAAAGCAGCUGGACAAAUACGCUUUUAUGCAAUCUUUUUUUUUUUUUUUUUUGUAAUUUUUCUUAAGCUGUCGUCAAGCUUUGAUGCUCUUCAUUUAGCGUGUUUUCAAACACUGUCAGGGUUCCAACUCAAGCAGGGACAAGUUGUGUUUUUGUUACACACAAAGCCUCACACAAGAUCGAGGCCAGUCAGCCUUAGUGUUGGCUCAUCCGCCGAGACUCUGGAACCUCCUGGGCCGGAGUUUAUCUGCCGGGCUUGACCCCGUUCGAUCUGGCCCUCACAUUAACCCGUGCGUGCGUGUGCGAAGGAAUACUGGUGUGGAAAUAUGUGCGCGUGUGUAGGUGUGUGCACGGCCUUGGAUAACCUCACAAUAACCCCCGCGAGCCGGCCAAUGCAGAUAAAAGGCCAUUUAUAUCCACGCUCACGCCUUCAAGGAUGCCUUCUUCGCUUUGUGCAAAGUGGCCUUCUUUGUCAACAAAUACUUGCCUACUGUACUCAGGUUGAGUUCUUUGGUAUCUGUUUUCAUUUGUAUAAACAAGACAAACUGUUGACAACUAUAACUAUCAGCAAAUGUGUUUUAAAUGAAACUAUUUCCAAGGAUAGGUAGCAACGCUGGAGGGGGGGCUCAGUUCAAAGGUCCUCAUACCAACAACUCGGCGGCUUUGUUUGAUUGACGGUUGCACCGGCCUUCCAUUAGGCGCAUAUUUGAUCAAAAUAUAUACAGCCCCCUGAAAAUUGCGGAAGGAAAGAGGGAGGGAGGCGAAAGCUCCCAUUCCAGAUGCAAAUCCUAAAUCAGCAGCCGCGGUGCGCUCCGAGGAGGAGGCUUGCUUUUAAUUUAUUCUCCUAAGCUGGGGAAUCAGGCCAUCAAAAGGCGGCCGGCUAUCGGGUUGCCCGCGCUAAGUGUGAGGAGGGCGGCCCGGGGAGGGAUUUAACCCUUUUCGGGUGUCACGGAGACCAGCAAAGAGGGGCGGGGGGGUACAGAAGCUGACAUGAGGGAGGGGGCGAGGGGGAUAGAAGCUGUCCUUAUGUUGGAGAUUCCUCCUUCAGUCCGCUUUAAUGGCUGAGGAUCAGAUUAUGAAAAGGACGCCAGCCGAUCUUGUUAGCAGAAAAAAAAAAAAAACUGUCCACUUGGCAGUUGUUUUUUCUCGUAGGGUCAGGCCAUCAAAUUAUAUUUACAACAGAAAAUGAUGAUGUCACAUAAAAAGUAUUGAUUAAGCAGGGAUAAGUCCCCUAAAAUAAAAAACUUGAGUUUGAAAAUUUGGCGAAAAAAACAUGACUCAGCGAAUGCCAAACCAUAAAUACAUGUGCCUUGGCGUUCACAAAUGCUCCUAUUUGUUGAUUUACACUUUUGUUCCCCCCCACCAAAAAAAAACUUAGACUCUCCUACAAUAUAAUAGCACGCAUGUUUCAUUCAAUGAAGACAAAAUUGUCGUGUAAAACGAAACUAGACCAUGCCUUACAAUGGCAC